rnacentral:tRNA from 1 species
GGGGUUAUCGGCUAGCCUGGUCUAGGCUUCGAGGUUUGGGACCUUGCGACCCCGGUUCGAAUCCGGGUAGCCCCA